AUUGAACGCUGGCGGCAGGCCUAACACAUGCAAGUCGAGCGGAUGAAGGGAGCUUGCUCCUGGAUUCAGCGGCGGACGGGUGAGUAAUGCCUAGGAAUCUGCCUGGUAGUGGGGGAUAACGUCCGGAAACGGGCGCUAAUACCGCAUACGUCCUGAGGGAGAAAGUGGGGGAUCUUCGGACCUCACGCUAUCAGAUGAGCCUAGGUGGGAUUAGCUAGUUGGUGGGGUAAAGGGCUACCAAGGCGACGAUCCGUAACUGGUCUGAGAGGAUGAUCAGUCACACUGGAACUGAGACACGGUCCAGACUCCUACGGGAGGCAGCAGUGGGGAAUAUUGGACAAUGGGCGAAAGCCUGAUCCAGCCAUGCCGCGUGUGUGAAGAAGGUCUUCGGAUUGUAAAGCACUUUAAGUUGGGAGGAAGGGCAGUAAGUUAAUACCUUGCUGUUUUGACGUUACCAACAGAAUAAGCACCGGCUAACUUCGUG
rnacentral:rRNA from 1 species